UCUAAUAUGGCAGAUUAGUGCAAUGAAUUUAAGAUUCAUUUAUAAAUAUUUAUUUUGUUAGAA
rnacentral:tRNA from 2 species